GACGAACGCUGGCGGCGUGCUUAACACAUGCAAGUCGAACGGUGAAGCGAGUGCUUGCACUCGUGGAUCAGCGGCGAACGGGUGAGUAACGCGUGAGUAACCUGCCCAUCACUCUGGGAUAAGCACUGGAAACGGUGUCUAAUACUGGAUACGACCAACCCUUGCAUGGGGUGUUGGUGGAAAGAUUUAUCGGUGAUGGAUGGACUCGCGGCCUAUCAGCUUGUUGGCGGGGUAAUGGCCCACCAAGGCGACGACGGGUAGCCGGCCUGAGAGGGUGACCGGCCACACUGGGACUGAGACACGGCCCAGACUCCUACGGGAGGCAGCAGUGGGGAAUAUUGCACAAUGGGCGAAAGCCUGAUGCAGCGACGCCGCGUGAGGGAUGACGGCCUUCGGGUUGUAAACCUCUUUCAGCAGGGAAGAAGCGAAAGUGACGGUACCUGCAGAAGAAGCACCGGCUAACUACGUG
rnacentral:rRNA from 1 species